rnacentral:rRNA from 1 species
AGGCUUGUUAUUAGUUCGUAACAGUAAGAUGAGCACUCUAAUGAGACUGCCAGGGUUAACCUGGAGGAAGGUGGGGAUGACGUCAAAUCAUCAUGCCCCUUAUGUCCUGGGCUACACACGUGCUACAAUGGCCAGAACAGAAAGAAGCGAGAUGGUAACAUGGAGCAAAUCUUUUAAAACUGGUCCCAGUUCGGAUUGAGGGCUGCAACCCGCCCUCAUGAAGCCGGAGUUGCUAGUAAUCGCGAAUCAGCAUGUCGCGGUGAAUACGUGCCCGGGCCUUGUACACACCGCCCGUCACACCAUGAGAGUCUGCAACACCCUGAAGCCUGUGAGGUAACCAGAGAUGGGGCCAGCAGUCGAAGGUGGGGCCGAUGAUUGGGGUGAAGUCGUAACUAGGU